rnacentral:lncRNA from 1 species
UGGAAGUUCCCGGCUAGGGGUCGAAUUGUAGCUGCAGCUGCUGGCCUACAACACAGCCUCAGCAACACAGGAUCUAAGCCACAUCUGUGACCUACACUGCACCCCAUGGCAACACCAGAUCCUUAACCCACUGAGUGAGGCCAGGAAUCGAACCCACCUCCUCAUGUAUACUAUGUCGGGUUCUUAACCAACUGAGCUACAACAGGAACUCAGAAUCAUGCCUUUCGAUCUAUCUUUUCCUUGUGGCCCUGAUUGCGUGCACCCAUGAGAGCGUGAGUGUGCACCCAGGCCAGGGCAAGCUGCUGGGUCCUGGGCAGGAAGAACACAGCGCCUCUGGGCAGCUCCAAAUACAGCUGUCUCUGGACUGUUUGCUCUCACAACUCACCCUCUGCUGGUGUGUGCGGAGCCAACCUUCAGCCUUGCCCAAGAGAGAAAAGUCACUUAAGGAACUGAGUGAUUUUUGCCAUCACUGAAGGAUCUGACAAGUAUAUCCCAAGGGUUUCUACCCUCUUCUAGGAUACUGAACGGACACUACAGGCCCUGUGGCAAGGUCACGUCUAAGGCCAGAGAGGAAUCUCACCAGCACAUAGAGAAAUCUUAAUCACCCUGAGGGGUAAGAGAGAUGACAUCUGUCCCCUAGCAGAGAGCACAGUACCAACCCUCAGAGUGGAUGGAUCAGCCCUCCACUCUGCCAGGAAUGUGCCCUUGUUGAUCUCAGCAUGACCACCAUUGCUAAAGGCGCCCUCUCUAUCACCAAUCCUUUUACUGUGGUUUCCUCCCAGUGACCAGCGUUGUUGCUCUGGGAUGAAGACCCAGCAGGGCCAAGAAUGGCUGCUCUUGGUCAAGAACAACAGUGAUCUUGUUCUUUCCAAGAGAGCUUGGAUGAGUGUCAGAAAUAACAUCAGGCAGCUUGGGGUGUCUUCCAAGGUAGGAGGGACAAGCCCUUGCUAUAGACACCAACAUGUCAAACAGAGGUGCCAACCAGAAGGAUAACCUAAAGUGGGAAGAGAGACACAGAGGAAUGGCAGAGCCAGCCCCAAAGAACAAAGCAAUGGGCAGAGUCCCAGGCAGUAUUCUCUGCUGGAUCUUUCAAAGGAAACAUCACUGAAGAACCACCUGUUAGAUGCUUUUAGUAUUCUUGAUACUCUAUACCCAGGGAAAUGAAGGGGGACUUCAGGGGACAUUCUUCUUGCCAGCAAUGUCUUGGAAGUCUUAAAAGGAGGGCAAGCCCUUGUAAAGAACUGGCCUGAUAUCACUGAAGAGUGAUGAAGGCCAAAUACGAUCCACAAAGUCAAUCUUCUCAUCUGAAAUGCUUUAGAACUUUAUAAAGCUACCUACAAAUUCAAGCUCCAUCCAAUUAUAUGAGGUUACAUAUUUUUUAAAUGAGGUUUUUAUUUUUAUUUUU